UACGGAGGGUGCAGGCGUUAUCCGGAUUCACUGGGUUUAAAGGGUGCGUAGGUGGGUCUGUAAGUCCGUGGUGAAAUCUCCAAGCUUAACUUGGAAACUGCCGUGGAUACUAUAGAUCUUGAAUAUUGUGGAGGUAAGCGGAAUAUGUCAUGUAGCGGUGAAAUGCUUAGAUAUGACAUAGAACACCGAUAGCGAAGGCAGCUUGCUACACAAUCAUUGACACUGAGGCACGAAAGCGUGGGGAUCAAACAGG
rnacentral:rRNA from 1 species